AAGGAAGUGGCAGAGUGGUUAUGUGGCUGGCUUGAAACCAGCAUAUGGGGGUUCAAUUCCUUCCUUCCUCG
rnacentral:tRNA from 1 species